rnacentral:tRNA from 1 species
UCCUCUGUAGUUCAGUCGGUAGAACGGAGGACUGUUAAUCCGUAUGUCACUGGUUCGAGUCCAGUCAGAGGAGCCA